GCGGGCCAGGCCCCCGAGGGCCUUAUCGGCCCCAGAGGCGCUUGCUGUCGGGCCGGGCGCUCCCGGCACGGGCGGGCGGAGGGGUGGCGCCCGCCUGGGGACCGCAGAUUACAAGAGCACCUCCUCCCCCAACCCCAGGAGGCCCCGCUCCCCAGGCCUCGGCCGGCGCGGACCCCUGGUUGCCCCGGGGUCGAGAGCAGCCGGGGAGAGCUGAGUUCAGAGCCCAGAGUUGGACAUCAGGCCACACGCUGAGAGGGUAGUAAAUGAAAGGGAGUCCGGUUUAGUCGCGGGCAGGGCAUCUCCUCUUCUGCUUGUCUAAAAGUCGCUGGGUGCAGGGGAAGCAAUACUAAGCGGGAAUUUCUUUUUAGUGGCAUCUACACAAUUUGCCUUUCCUGGUUUUUGUUUUGUUUUGUUUUGUUUCCUAAGGAGGGGGAGGCUCUGUAGAGGAAGCUUCGGCCCUGGGUGCCCCUGGGUUGGGAGCAGUCGGGGAGCGCUGAGCCAGGGCGCACGCCCUGUCGGCGCUGCGGGUGUGGGGCGCAGGAGUCCUUCUGGCCGGCCCCUCCGCCCCCCGGGGAGGCUGGAGCUCUCCAAGGCCGGGGAGCCUCCCGAAGCGCGCUGCCCCCUCUGUUCUCCGCGUGCUUUCACUAGGGCCCCAUGCUGCUUAGUGGCCGAUUUGCAGGGAAUCUGGGCACAAUCUUAAUAACACCAGGGCCAAAAAUAACAACGUUCCUGGGAACCGAGCAGCUGGAGCGCACCCCAUGGACGCUGGGCCAUCUCCCCGGGGACUAGUGCCUGACAGAGCUGACAGAGUUCUAGGCCACAUGUGGGCUAGAAGGAACCGCCAUGUCUACCACAGCACAGUCCUUAAGCAGGAGCCUUUUGAAGCACUUGGACUCAAAACAAUGGCUGUUUGUUGUUGUUGUUGUUGUUGUUUGUUUGUUUUGAGGGAGCCAGAAAGCUAAAAAAUGUAAAAGAAGCAGGUCACAUUAGACAUGAUUUCAGACAGCCUCCCCGAAGGACAGAUGAUCUCACUUGGCAACACAUACUGGGCCAGGCUCACUCAUGAGGGGGCAGCGUGGCAUGCACCCCACUCAGGGGCAAGAAUGAAGCUUAAAUAUUAGCUGACUCAGAACAUAGCAAGUGCUCAGUAAUGGCUUCUGGAACGAACCCGUGGUUGUCACCAGCAGGAGUGACGAAAGCUAGAAGCCGUUUCACCAUCCAAGGAAGAGGAGGAACAAUAUUUUUCUCUUUGGAGUUCCCACACUCAGAAGAGAGAACACCAGCAUAUGAACACAGAGUGUCACAUGAUGUAGGAAACAUCCUGUAGGUAGAGAGUAUAAUUCCAAAGCUUAGGAUCCUGCUAGUUCCUUGUGCAGUGCUUCCGGUGGGCAACAUGGUGCCUCCCCAGUCCCUCAGGCUUGAGGCGGGCCAGCACAGCUUCUCUGGGAGCCAGGUCAUUUCAGAAUUUAACCCCAGAACUAGGUCACCCCAGGCAACACAAGGCUCCUCUCCCUUGGAUACAGGAAGCGGAGGAAAAGGCCAGGCAUGCUCAGGGGCAAACCAACACCCAGGUGAAAGGGAGCUGGGCUGGUUUCGGGGAGCAGCCUGGUUUCAGGGAGCCGGACUCACGAUGUGCUUGAGACCCUCAAAUUCACCCCUGGAAGCAGCUGCCCCCGUGACAAGGAACUAAGGACAGGCAUGUCAUGGACUGUGAAUUGGAGUGACAUUUGUCCCUCCCUUCACCAACAGACUGCCCCAAGAGCUUCCCAAGUUAUCUGCCAUAGAAUACCUUGUUUCCCUCGAGUCUCUGAAAGGGGGCCGCAAAAGCUGUCCCCACGCUGGAAAUGCAGGGCCAGGCUUUUAAAGUUUUGCUCCCGGAUUAUGAGAACACCUAGAAAAUUCAGUGCUCCUCUCCACUCCCCCAAACCCCUUCACAAGCCCCCACCCUUUGUUUAACAAACAUAUAUAUAGUGCUUUCCUGGUACCAGAUACUACUUUAAGCACUUGACAAAAUAUUUAGUCAUACAUAAAACCCUUAUAAUUACACUGUAAUUCACUCUCGUCAGAUCCAGUCAUUGUGAAGAAACGGAGGCACGGGGAGAUUAAGAGAGCUACUUAAGAAGACACGGUGCCAGGUUUCUACCCAAGCCAUUUGGAUCUAGGGUCUGGAGGCCAUGUGAGCCAUUUUGCAUUAGAUUAACGCUUUAAUUCAGUUCACAGUUAGACAAUAUACGUUCCCCAUCUAUAUCUAUACCCAUCUGGAAGGCAACAAAAAGAUAAUAAACUGAUAGUGUCAUGUGCCCAUGACCCAGCUAACAAAGAGGCUCUGGGUUCCAAUGCCCCAGUCUUUCAUGGGAUUCCAUCGACCUCAUGCCCUGCUCCCCUCCCCAACAGAGAUGGAAACAUUAUCCUGAAUUUUGUGUUUAUCAUCCCUUGUUUCUCUCUAUAGUUUUUCCACUUAUGGUUGUAUGAUUUUUGUUUGUUUGUUUUUUGAGACGGCAUCUCGCUCUGUCACCAGGCUGGAGUGCAGUGGCGUGAUCUCGGCUCUACCUCCCAGGUUCAAGCCAUCCUCCUGCCUCAUCCUCCCGAGUAGCUGGGACUACAGGCACACGCCACCAUGCCCAGCUAAUUUUUGUAUUUUUAGUAGAGACGGGGUUUCACCUUAUGGUUGUAUCUUUAAACAAUGUCUUGUUUAGUUUUGCCAUGUUUUUGGACUGUGAAUAAGUAGAAUUAUUAUGCUGUGUGAAUUCUUCUGCUACUUGCAUUUUUGCUGCAACGUCAUGUUCCUGAAAUUCAGCCAGGAUUCAUUUAUUCCUUUUCACUGCUGUGUGAUAUCCCAUUGUAGGCAAAUAGUACACAAUAUUUAUUUAUUUUCCAGAUGGGAUCUCAUUCUGUCACCCAGGCUUGUAGUGCAGUGACCCCAUCACGAUUCACUGCAGCCUUGAACUCCUGGGCUCAAGCAAUCCUCCUGCCUCAGCCUCCUGAGUUGCUAAGGCCACAAAUAUUUAUCCAUUUUACUGCUAAUGCAAUUUGAGCUGUUUUCAACUUUUUCCUAUUAAAACAUUAUUGCUAUGAACAUUCUUAUAAAAGCUUCCCAGUGCACGUGUGUGAGAUCUUUCUAGUGUGUAUGCUAGCAGGAGAAUUACUGAGUUUUACCGUACAUGUAUCUUCAAUCUUAUUAGAUAACACUGACUUGUUUUUGAAAUUGGCUCUUCCAAUUUACACUGUCAACAGCAGGGUUAUGUGGUUGCCCUGCAAGUUCAACAACAUUUGGUAUUGUCAGACUUUAAUAUUUUUGUCAAUCUGGUUGGUAUAAAAUGGUAUGGUGUGGUGCUUUUUAUUUGCAUUUCCAUGAUUACUAAUGAGGUUGAGCAUCUUUUCACAUGUUUAUGGGCCAUUUACUUUUCCUCUUCUAUGAAAUUACUAUUCAAGCCCUUUGCCCAUUUUUCUGUUAUGUUGUUUGUCUUUUUCUUAUCGAGGUGGAGGAGUUCUCUGCAGUCUGAAUACGAAUCAUUUUUCAGUUAUGUGCAUUGAAAAUAUCUCCUCCCAGUGUGUAGUUCUUUACACUUUUUAAAAUGGUAUCUUUUAACGAACUAAUAUGGGUUUUAAUGUGUCAAAUAUGUUGAUCAUUUUCUUUAUGGUUUGUGUUUCUUUUGUCUUAAGGAGUCCACUUCUACCCUGAGCUUAUACAAUUUUUUCUGUAUUAUAUUUAUUUUAUAGGGUUUUUGUUUUGUUUUGUUUUGUUUUUUGUUUUUGAGAUGGAGUCUUGCUCUGUCGCCCAGGCUAGAGUGCAAUGGCACCAUCUCAGCUCACUGCAACCUCCGCCUCCCGGGUUCCAGCAAUUCUCCUGCCUCGGCCUCCCGAAUAGCUGGGACUACAGGCACUCACCACCACGCCUGGCUAAUGUUUGUAUUUUUAGUAGAGACAGGGUGUCACCACGUUGGUCAGGCUGGUCUCAAACUCCUGAUUUCAAGUGAUCUGCCCACCUUGGCCUCCCAAAGUGCUGAGAUUACAGGCAUGAGCCACCACGCCCGACCUAUAGUUUUACUUCUCAUAUUUAGGUCUUUAAAUCCACUUGACUUAUUUUGUGUAUGAUGUGAGUUGAGUUCUGAUUUUUACUAUGUGGAUAAUGAAAUAUCCCUGCACCAUUGAUUAGCCCAUCCUCUCCCAGCUGAACUGUGUCAUGUUCAUCGUUUAUUAAGUCUCCACAUGCAUGAGUCUGUUGGAGAGGAGAACUCUCUCCUAUGAUCCAUUGGCCUAUAAGUCUAUCUCAGUACUGAUGUCAUACUGUCUUCAUUGCUACUGCAACUAAUAAUACAUUUUAUAAUAAAUUUUAAUAUUGUCCGCAAUAAGUCUUAGUAUUGUUGAGGAAGUCUCUUUGCUUUAUUCCUCUAGAAAAGCAUCAUAACAGCUGGGCACAGUGGCCUACACCUGUCAUCCCAGCACUCUGGGAGGCCGAUCACUCGGGCAACAUGGCAAAACCCCAUCUCUACUAAAAAUAGAAAAAAGUAGCCAGGUGUGGUGGCUUGCAUCUGUAGUCCCAGCUACUGGGGAGGCUGAGGUGGGAGGAUCACCUGAGCCUGGGAAGUCAUUGAGGCCGCAGUGAGCGAUGAUCAUGCCACGGCACUCCAGCCUGGGUAAUGAGAAUGAGACCCUAUCUAAAAGAAAGAAAGAAAGAGAG
rnacentral:lncRNA from 1 species